rnacentral:tRNA from 1 species
ACCUGAGUGGCUCAGUCGGUUAAGCGUCUGACUUCCGCUCAGGUCAUGAUCUCACGGUUUGUGGGUUCGAGCCCCACAUCGGGCU